GAUGAACGCUGGCGGCGUGCCUAAUACAUGCAAGUCGAGCGAACAGACGAGGAGCUUGCUCCUCUGACGUUAGCGGCGGACGGGUGAGUAACACGUGGAUAACCUACCUAUAAGACUGGGAUAACUUCGGGAAACCGGAGCUAAUACCGGAUAAUAUAUUGAACCGCAUGGUUCAAUAGUGAAAGACGGUUUUGCUGUCACUUAUAGAUGGAUCCGCGCCGCAUUAGCUAGUUGGUAAGGUAACGGCUUACCAAGGCGACGAUGCGUAGCCGACCUGAGAGGGUGAUCGGCCACACUGGAACGGAGACACGGUCCAGACUCCUACGGGAGGCAGCAGUAGGGAAUCUUCCGCAAUGGGCGAAAGCCUGACGGAGCAACGCGGCGUGAGUGAUGAAGGUCUUCGGAUCGUAAAACUCUGUUAUUAGGGAAGAACAAAUGUGUAAGUAACUAUGCACGUCGUGACGGUACCUAAUCAGAAAGCCACGGCUAACUACGUG
rnacentral:rRNA from 1 species